GUAUCCUACGGGACGCAGCAGUCGAGAAUCAUUCACAAUGGGGGAAACCCUGAUGGUGCGACGCCGCGUGGGGGAAUGAAGGUCUUCGGAUUGUAAACCCCUGUCAUGUGGGAGCAAAUUAAAAAGAUAGUACCACAAGAGGAAGAGACGGCUAACUCUGUGCCAGCAGCCGCGGUAAUACAGAGGUCUCAAGCGUUGUUCGGAAUCACUGGGCGUAAAGCGUGCGCAGGCUGUUUCGCACGUCGUGUGUGAAAGGCGCGGGCUCAACCCGCGGCCGGCACACGAUACUGCGAGACU
rnacentral:rRNA from 1 species